CCUACGGGGGGCAGCAGUGAGGAAUAUUGGGCAAUGGACGAGAGUCUGAACCAGCCAAGUAGCGUGAAGGAUGACUGCCCUAUGGGUUGUAAACUCCUUUUAUAUGGGAAUAAAAUGUUCCAUGCCUGGGAUUUUGUAUGUACCAUAUGAAUAAGGAUCGGCUAACUCCGUGCCAGCAGCCGCGGUAAUACGGAGGAUUCGAGCGUUAUCCGGAUUUAUUGGGUUUAAAGGGAGCGUAGGUGGGUUGUUAAGUCAGUUGUGAAAGUUUGCGGCUCAACCGUGAAAUUGCAGUUGAAACUGGCAGUCUUGAGUACAGUAGAGGUGAGCGGAAUUCGUGGUGUAGCGGUGAAAUGCUUAGAUAUCACGAAGAACACCGGUGGCGAAGGCAGUUCACUGGACUGCAACUGACACUGAGGCUCGAAAGUGUGGGUAGCAAACAGGAUUAGAUACCCGUGUAGUC
rnacentral:rRNA from 1 species